AGAGUUUGAUCAUGGCUCAGAACGAACGCUGGCGGCGUGGAUAAGACAUGCAAGUCGAACGGGACUCUGGUUGUAGCAAUACAAACGGGGUUCAGUGGCGCAAGGGUGCGUAACACGUGGGCAACCUGCCGGGAAAUGGGGGAUAGCUCGCCGAAAGGCGAAUUAAUACCGCAUGUGAUCAUCUCUCGCAUGAGAGAGACAUUAAAGCUGGGGAUCGUAAGACCUGGCGUUUCCCGAUGGGCCCGCGGCCUAUCAGCUUGUUGGCGGGGUAACGGCCCACCAAGGCUCUGACGGGUAGCUGGUCUGAGAGGACGACCAGCCACACUGGAACUGAGACACGGUCCAGACACCUACGGGUGGCAGCAGUCGAGAAUCUUUCACAAUGGGGGAAACCCUGAUGGAGCGACGCCGCGUGGAGGAUGAAGGUCUUCGGAUUGUAAACUCCUGUCAUGAGAGAACAAAGUCUUACGGUUAAUACCUGUGAGAACUGAUAGUAUUUCAAGAGGAAGAGACGGCUAACUCUGUGCCAGCAGCCGCGGUAAUACAGAGGUCUCGAGCGUUGUUCGGAUUCAUUGGGCGUAAAGGGUGCGUAGGCGGCGAGGUAAGUC
rnacentral:rRNA from 1 species